UUGGAGGGCAAGUCUGGUGCCAGCAGCCGCGGUAAUUCCAGCUCCAAUAGCGUAUAUUAAAGUUGUUGCAGUUAAAAAGCUCGUAGUUGAACCUCGGGGUCUACCCAUUGGUCAGGCUUAAUUGUCUGCACUGGUGAGAUGGAUCUCUACCUUCUGAGGAACUUUCAUGCCAUUCAUUUGGUGUGAUGGGAAAUCAGGACUGUUACUUUGAAAAAAUUAGAGUGUUUAAAGUAGACUAUCGUCUGAAUACAUUAGCAUGGAAUAAUGAAAUAGGACGGACUGAUUCUAUUUCGUUGGUUUCUAGGAUCACCGUAAUGAUUAAUAGGGAUAGUUGGGGGCAUUAGUAUUCAAUUGUCAGAGGUGAAACUCUUGGAUUUAUUGAAGACUAACUACUGCGAAAGCAUUUGCCAAGGAUGUUUUCAUUAAUCAAGAACGAAAGUUAGGGGAUCGAAGACGAUCAGAUACCGUCGUAGUCUUAACCAUAAACUAUGCCGACUAGGGAUCGGACGAAGUUAAUUUUAUAAUGACGCGUUCGGCGCCUUACGGGAAAC
rnacentral:rRNA from 1 species